GUAUUGUGAGCAAACAGGUAAGGCCUUAUGAGUUUUCAAGGAAAAGUUAUUUUAGACAACUAUGCCUAAUACAUUUUUCAAAGUUGCAGAUAAUUUACUUACUGAUCAUUACGUGAAUAUCUGGGUUCAAACAUAUUCUGACCAGCCUCUUGGUAAACAUGCUACCCCAGCUCAACCUGAAGGAAAUGCCUUGAAAUGAGCAUAAGAGCAUUUUAAAGUUUGAUUAUUAUAAACUGCAGUAUUUGACAAUAUUGUUCUGCUGGAUAAUGGAAAUACUGGAAUUUCAUAAUGGGAUUCAAGGCCACCUUUGAAAUCAUUUGGAUUUCAGUGAAGUUACCUGGCUGUAGGAAGUGAGGGGGCCAGGACUACCCUGUUCUAACCUUAGAAGACUUGUUGGAGAAGAAGACUAUGACGAUGAUUGGAUACAUUUCUUUGCCAGAAGAUUACAAUUUCUUUACUUCUCCAGAGAAAGUUUUCUUCCUCUCUCUCUUAAAAAUGACGCAGAACAAAGCCAAAAUAACCGGGACAAUUUUCCAUCCAAC